GACGAACGCUGGCGGCGUGCUUAACACAUGCAAGUCGAACGGAAAGGCCCUGCUUUUGUGGGGUGCUCGAGUGGCGAACGGGUGAGUAACACGUGAGUAACCUGCCCUUGACUUUGGGAUAACUUCAGGAAACUGGGGCUAAUACCGGAUAGGAGCUCCUGCUGCAUGGUGGGGGUUGGAAAGUUUCGGCGGUUGGGGAUGGACUCGCGGCUUAUCAGCUUGUUGGUGGGGUAGUGGCUUACCAAGGCUUUGACGGGUAGCCGGCCUGAGAGGGUGACCGGCCACAUUGGGACUGAGAUACGGCGCAGACUCCUACGGGAGGCAGCAGUGGGGAAUAUUGCACAAUGGGCGGGAGCCUGAUGCAGUAACGCCGCGUGCGGGAUGACGGCCUUCGGGUUGUAAACCGCUUUCGCCUGUGACGAAGCGUGAGUGACGGUAAUGGGUAAAGAAGCACCGGCUAACUACGUG
rnacentral:rRNA from 1 species